rnacentral:siRNA from 1 species
CUCGCCGGAUUGUAGAGAUUGUG